rnacentral:misc_RNA from 1 species
AACGCACAUUGCGCCCAUUGGUAUUCCGAUGGGCAUGCCUGUUCGAGCGUCAUUAUCAACCCUCAGGCUCGGCUUGUUAUUGGGUCCUAUCGUUAAAAAGAUUGGCCCGAAAGAUAAUGGCGGUGUCACGAUUGACCCCAGGUGCAGCGAGCUUUUUAGCAUACACUUUGGAUCGUCGGGGCCCAGACCUUUAACUAUUUUUAUUCUAAGGUUGACCUCGGAUCAGGUAGGAAUACCCGCUGAACUUAA